AGGUGCUAAAAAAGGCUGUAUGCAGGCAUGUGAGCAUAGGAGUUUGUGUCCUUUGUUACUCUUUGAGCACAGCCCAGAUCAUUCCAAUGGGUAUUUCAGUGAUUCUGGUGUCAGAUGCUUUUCUGCUUUCACACAAGCUUCAUCCUGACAUGACUGUUGACUUCAGUAAAGGUGUGAUUGCGGAAGGGCUAAGUGCUGGUCUGAAAACUUACAGAAGCCCAGUGGGAAGAGAGGAAGAGUUAAAUGGAUGCUUGUUGCAGUCAUUAUAAAUUGUACAGAGCUUCUUGGUCCAAAGUGUGUGUAAGCAAUAUCUGAGCAGCAGUCAUCAUCCCUGAGCACUCUGAAAGUCACUUUAGGAAGCAGCACUACUGGGAAUCAGCAGGAAUCCUCCUGCAAGAGAUGAGGAUUCAUGUCAGGAUGACACUGCUGAGGAUUCACACAAGCACAUCAACACAGACAAGCCUCUACACUCUGUGAAUCUGCCAUGAACAGAGUUCUCACCCCAUUCAUUGUCUUAGGAAACAGUCCUGCUGGCUUCAGAAACAUCAAAAUAAGGACAAGAGAACUUCAAUUGCACCUAGUUUAUAAUAAAUCAUCGCCAUGGACUGCUGCUAGCCUGCGUUAGAGAAGCAUUGUGGACAGGGUUAGGUGUGGGUGAGCAGUCUGGCUCAGCCUUAGGAGCACAAUUCCUACCUGAGGUCAAAGCAAGGCAAGGUCAGAAGUUGGGAAGAGGAUGUGAAGAGGAUACAGAAGAGAAUGAAAACCUCAGUCUGUUAGAAAGCAGCUGCAAUAGUUUCUCUGUAAGUAUUUCCCUGCCUUCUCUCUUCUUCCCCAGUGCUUUCUCCCUCCAUGCUUUGACCCGUUCCUGGGACUGUUUUCUUCCUCUUCCAUUAUUCUGUGCAUACCACCAACCCCUAUCCCAGAGAUAGCAGGAGUGCAGGGAAAACAAGGCUGCAAAAUGAACUCUCUCUGUAUUUACAUUGGUUUCCAGCUCCUUCUAUGAACAGGCAUAUGGUGUUAAUCUAAACUGUCCAACACAUUAGUGGGAGGGAAGUAGCACCCAGAGGAUUAUUACAACAUUUUACCUGGCAGAUGCCACCGUAUUUAUUGAUAUGAAAAUUUCCUCCCUCCAUAUCAGCCACUGAAACCUCCCUCUGUGAAAUUCUCUUUAUUUUCAGCAUAGCUCUAUUAAAAUAUUUUGUUAAACUCCUUAAGUUUUACUGUGUCUAAAAUGUACAUUCAU